rnacentral:rRNA from 1 species
GCAGUCGCCGCGGGAAUACGUAGGUGGCAGGCGUUGUCCGGAAUUAUUGGGCGUAAAGGGCUCGCAGGCGGUUUCUUAAGUCUGAUGUGAAAGCCCCCGGCUCAACCGGGGAGGGUCAUUGGAAACUGGGAAACUUGAGUGCAGAAGAGGAGAGUGGAAUUCCACGUGUAGCGGUGAAAUGCAUAGAGAUGUGGAGGAACACCAGUGGCGAAGGCGACUCUCUGGUCUGUAACUGACGCUGAGGAGCGAAAGCGUGGGGAGCGAACAGGAUUAGAUACCCCUGUAGCCCUGUCUCUUAUACC